rnacentral:rRNA from 1 species
ACUAAGCGUACACGGUGGAUGCCCUGGCAGUCAGAGGCGAUGAAGGACGUGCUAAUCUGCGAUAAGCGUCGGUAAGGUGAUAUGAACCGUUAUAACCGGCGAUUUCCGAAUGGGGAAACCCAGUGUGAUUCGUCACACUAUCAUUAACUGAAUCCAUAGGUUAAUGAGGCGAACCGGGGGAACUGAAACAUCUAAGUACCCCGAGGAAAAGAAAUCAACCGAGAUUCCCCCAGUAGCGGCGAGCGAACGGGGAGCAGCCCAGAGCCUGAAUCAGUGUGUGUGUUAGUGGAAGCGUCUGGAAAGGCGCGCGAUACAGGGUGACAGCCCCGUACACAAAAAUGCACAUGCUGUGAGCUCGAUGAGUAGGGCGGGACACGUGGUAUCCUGUCUGAAUAUGGGGGGACCAUCCUCCAAGGCUAAAUACUCCUGACUGACCGAUAGUGAACCAGUACCGUGAGGGAAAGGCGAAAAGAACCCCGGCGAGGGGAGUGAAAAAGAACCUGAAACCGUGUACGUACAAGCAGUGGGAGCACGCUUAGGCGUGUGACUGCGUACCUUUUGUAUAAUGGGUCAGCGACUUAUAUUCUGUAGCAAGGUUAACCGAAUAGGGGAGCCGAAGGGAAACCGAGUCUUAACUGGGCGUUAAGUUGCAGGGUAUAGACCCGAAACCCGGUGAUCUAGCCAUGGGCAGGUUGAAGGUUGGGUAACACUAACUGGAGGACCGAACCGACUAAUGUUGAAAAAUUAGCGGAUGACUUGUGGCUGGGGGUGAAAGGCCAAUCAAACCGGGAGAUAGCUGGUUCUCCCCGAAAGCUAUUUAGGUAGCGCCUCGUGAAUUCAUCUCCGGGGGUAGAGCACUGUUUCGGCAAGGGGGUCAUCCCGACUUACCAACCCGAUGCAAACUGCGAAUACCGGAGAAUGUUAUCACGGGAGACACACGGCGGGUGCUAACGUCCGUCGUGAAGAGGGAAACAACCCAGACCGCCAGCUAAGGUCCCAAAGUCAUGGUUAAGUGGGAAACGAUGUGGGAAGGCCCAGACAGCCAGGAUGUUGGCUUAGAAGCAGCCAUCAUUUAAAGAAAGCGUAAUAGCUCACUGGUCGAGUCGGCCUGCGCGGAAGAUGUAACGGGGCUAAACCAUGCACCGAAGCUGCGGCAGCGACACUAUGUGUUGUUGGGUAGGGGAGCGUUCUGUAAGCCUGUGAAGGUGUACUGUGAGGUAUGCUGGAGGUAUCAGAAGUGCGAAUGCUGACAUAAGUAACGAUAAAGCGGAUGAAAAGCCCGCUCGCCGGAAGACCAAGGGUUCCUGUCCAACGUUAAUCGGGGCAGGGUGAGUCGACCCCUAAGGCGAGGCCGAAAGGCGUAGUCGAUGGGAAACAGGUUAAUAUUCCUGUACUUGGUGUUACUGCGAAGGGGGGACGGAGAAGGCUAUGUUGGCCGGGCGACGGUUGUCCCGGUUUAAGCGUGUAGGCUGGUUUUCCAGGCAAAUCCGGAAAAUCAAGGCUGAGGCGUGAUGACGAGGCACUACGGUGCUGAAGCAACAAAUGCCCUGCUUCCAGGAAAAGCCUCUAAGCAUCAGGUAACAUCAAAUCGUACCCCAAACCGACACAGGUGGUCAGGUAGAGAAUACCAAGGCGCUUGAGAGAACUCGGGUGAAGGAACUAGGCAAAAUGGUGCCGUAACUUCGGGAGAAGGCACGCUGAUAUGUAGGUGAAGUCCCUCGCGGAUGGAGCUGAAAUCAGUCGAAGAUACCAGCUGGCUGCAACUGUUUAUUAAAAACACAGCACUGUGCAAACACGAAAGUGGACGUAUACGGUGUGACGCCUGCCCGGUGCCGGAAGGUUAAUUGAUGGGGUUAGCGCAAGCGAAGCUCUUGAUCGAAGCCCCGGUAAACGGCGGCCGUAACUAUAACGGUCCUAAGGUAGCGAAAUUCCUUGUCGGGUAAGUUCCGACCUGCACGAAUGGCGUAAUGAUGGCCAGGCUGUCUCCACCCGAGACUCAGUGAAAUUGAACUCGCUGUGAAGAUGCAGUGUACCCGCGGCAAGACGGAAAGACCCCGUGAACCUUUACUAUAGCUUGACACUGAACAUUGAGCCUUGAUGUGUAGGAUAGGUGGGAGGCUUUGAAGUGUGGACGCCAGUCUGCAUGGAGCCGGCCUUGAAAUACCACCCUUUAAUGUUUGAUGUUCUAACGUUGACCCGUGAUCCGGGUUGCGGACAGUGUCUGGUGGGUAGUUUGACUGGGGCGGUCUCCUCCUAAAGAGUAACGGAGGAGCACGAAGGUUGGCUAAUCCUGGUCGGACAUCAGGAGGUUAGUGCAAUGGCAUAAGCCAGCUUGACUGCGAGCGUGACGGCGCGAGCAGGUGCGAAAGCAGGUCAUAGUGAUCCGGUGGUUCUGAAUGGAAGGGCCAUCGCUCAACGGAUAAAAGGUACUCCGGGGAUAACAGGCUGAUACCGCCCAAGAGUUCAUAUCGACGGCGGUGUUUGGCACCUCGAUGUCGGCUCAUCACAUCCUGGGGCUGAAGUAGGUCCCAAGGGUAUGGCUGUUCGCCAUUUAAAGUGGUACGCGAGCUGGGUUUAGAACGUCGUGAGACAGUUCGGUCCCUAUCUGCCGUGGGCGCUGGAGAACUGAGGGGGGCUGCUCCUAGUACGAGAGGACCGGAGUGGACGCAUCACUGGUGUUCGGGUUGUCAUGCCAAUGGCACUGCCCGGUAGCUAAAUGCGGAAGAGAUAAGUGCUGAAAGCAUCUAAGCACGAAACUUGCCCCGAGAUGAGUUCUCCCUGACUCCUUGAGAGUCCUGAAGGAACGUUGAAGACGACGACGUUGAUAGGCCGGGUGUGUAAGCGCAGCGAUGCGUUGAGCUAACCGGUACUAAUGAACCGUGAGGCUUAACC